rfam:Theobroma cacao cultivar Matina 1-6 chromosome 1, whole genome shotgun sequence.
GGAUGCAUUACAGGGCAAAUCUCCUUUGGAAGUCAGCUGAACUCGAGGCAUGGGAGAUAAGCUCACUGCCAAAGGAGAUUUGCCCCGCAAUUCAGCC